rnacentral:lncRNA from 1 species
UCUACGACAAACUAUGUUAAUUAAAUUCAAAAUCAGAUGACAGUUAUUGAAAGGACAAGGUAUGAUAAUCGUGUUUCUUUUUGUGGCUCCUGGAAUUCUAAAUAAAACAUGGUGAACACUCUACCAUCUAGUGCUGAUGAAUAAAUAAAGGCAACAGUAGUAUACCGAUGUUCAAAAUCAUAAAUCCAUGGACAAAAAACAAAAUCGGGGUAACAAACUAAAACUGAGGGAAACGCAUUAAAUAUAAGAGGAGAACAACGACACAACUCUACAUUGUAACACACACAGAAACGGACCAAGCAACAGACAAAAUCCCAAGAGAAUAACAAAUAUAACAUCAAAACCAAAUACAUGAAUUUGGGAUAGACAAGUACCGUGACACGUCUUAUCGCAAUGUGAAUUUACACUCAAAAAUAAGAGAAAACAAACGACGCAACGUUAAAAUGUAACACAUACAGAAACGAACUAUAAUAUAACAAUGGCCAUAUU